GGCCGGCUAGCUCAGUUGGUAGAGCGUCGUACUAAUAAUGCGAAUGUCGUCAGUUCAAUCCUGGCGUUGGCCA